ACGAAGGUGGCAAGCGUUGUUCGGAUUUACUGGGCGUAAAGGGAGCGUAGGUGGUCGGGUAAGCCCCGCGGGAAAGCUCCAGGCUUAACCUGGAAAGGUCGCGGGGGACUGCGCGGCUAGAGGACGGGAGAGGAGCGCGGAAUUCCCGGUGUAGCGGUGAAAUGCGUAGAGAUCGGGAGGAAGGCCGGUGGCGAAGGCGGCGCUCUGGAACGGCCCUGACACUGAGGCUCGAAAGCGUGGGGAGCAAACAGGA
rnacentral:rRNA from 1 species